ensembl:lncRNA LINC01304 long intergenic non-protein coding RNA 1304
GCUGGGCUUUUCUGAACUACUUCAGUACACCUUGCUGUGCCUUGGCCUGCCGUGUUUCAUCCCCAUGGCUGUCCUCAGUGAUGUGCAUGGUCACUGCUCCCUUCACCACUGAGAAGACGGGCACAGGACAGUCAGGGGAUGUGUCCAAGGUCCCACAGCAGGAAGGGCUGGAGCCAGAAUGUGGUCUGAGAGGCUGGAUAUACAAAGAGACAAUGGCAUGACCAUCUGUACAAAUGGAACUAUGGCCCACAACCUGCAGCAGCCAGCCCAGGAAGCCAACCCGUCACCUGCAGCAGCCAGGAUGGAUGCUGGCCUGCCCUCACUGAUACUCAAGUCUAGUUUUAUAUGGCUCCAAACGCCUCCACCAUGAGCUCAAGGCAGUGAGACUGACUGAAAAACCCUCUCUAUUACAGACCACAACAUUGAACCCAACAUCCCCCUAAGUAGGUUGUACUCACAUCAUUGGUCUUAUGGGGAAAUUUUAAGACCUCCCACUUGUAAGGUUUUAUAGCCCUCUAUGGAAUAUUGAAGAAAGAGUAAAAUGCAUCCAAAAAAAAAAAAAAACACUAAACUGGAUAAAUUCUAAGGCCUCUUCAGGUCUUAAGAUGGCCAUUUUCUAGGUCCUCUUGCUGCAGCAGUGAAAUCCACAAACACGGACAAGUCAGUCAGUUACGUGCCUUUCAGAGAAAACUUCUGACUUAGGAAUUCCAGCUAUUUGGCCCAACCCAUAUUAGAUUGUGUUAUAAAGACAUGGUAAAUUACAUCACGAAGGGAAGAGCAGAGGAAACAUAAUAUUCCUUCAAGACCCAUCAGCUCAGAUGUUAGCAGAACACCCCUAAGGAGGAAAACAAGAAAUUUUGGGUUUGAACUUGGUACUUCCCAGCAGCCCUGGGAGUGGGGUCAGAAGCCCUGCUGGGGGCCAAAGAACUCUGAGGAUCAAAGAUGUUGAGCAUCACCUUAGAGGCCAAAGAUCAGAACAGUGGAGGUGGCCUUUGAAGCCCAACCUGUCUUUCACCAGAGAGUGAGAACGGCCUCUAUUUCCAGGAAGCUCACUGCAGCAAUAAUCAUGAUGCUCUGAGCCUGACAAGCAAAAGAAAACUUCUUUAGGAGGAUAAAAGGGAGAUGAAGAAACAGAAAACACAUCAGCUCUCCAUCCAGAUUACAGAAAGCAGAAAACAUCCUGAAGUGAAUAACAUAGGAAUCGCUCUUUUUCCCCCCUGAGAUAGCAGGUUACUUAUGAGAAACAAGCUUGAAAUCUCUGCACCUGGACCAGCUUCCAGAGGCUUUUGUCCUGACCAGCUGGCUUUGGGGAAGUAAAGGAAACCAGAGAAGAAGAGGCUGAAAGAAUUGGUUUCCACCGUGACCUUUGAACCCUCGGGCGAGUUGUCAGCCUCACUGAGGAUGAGUGUACUCCAUAUCAAGUGAGGUCACUUUACUCGCAAGCUUGUUGUGAGGACUGAAUGAAACCUUUUCUUUUUUCUUGGAGUUUCAGAGCAACGUCCCUGAGCCCAGCCCCACACUGGCUUGAGCCCUGUCGUCGGUCAAGACACGGUGCUUUCUCCCCUCCCCUCUGCACUCCAGCUUACUCUGCAGUCAGGAGGUGGCACCACGAUCCCCUUUAAGACUUUGCCACUUGGGCCAGCUGCGCCCCUGUGAAAUUCCCUGUUUCUAUUGCAGGCCACAAGGACGAGCUGAGAAAUGGCUUCCAGUCACCAUCUAGAUUAGAAAGCCUAUAUUUCAAAUAUAGAUAUAUCAAUUAUGCCUGUAAAAAGACAUUAAAUCCCACAGGGCUGUAAUUCCUAGACUCUACGAAUUUCAUCUUGCACCAAAUUUUAUUAUUUCAUUUAUAAUUCGGAUUCUUCAAAUCUAAGAGUGCCUGGCUCAAAAUUAAAAUACCUACAACUAUGCCAAAACUGGACUCUUUAAUUGCCUUACUGGAACCAGUAGCUGAUUCAAAGCAAAACGAAACAAAAUUCCUCCUUUCUCUGAUUUAGUGAAUCAAUGAUCUAACUGAACUCAUUUUUGGACUGAGUUUGCGGCACUUGCAGCCCUGAGGGACACAUUCCCCCACCACACUGAGCCUGCACUCCCAUCAAUGCAAAUGAACAUUUUGCUUAUUCAGAUUGGGGGGGUGAAGGAAGUCACAAAAGGGUUAAUACAUAUGGCAUUUCAUUGUAAUAUGUACUCACUACUAACUAAAUUAAAAGAGAUGUGAGUUAUUAAAAACUCCAUCUUAAGAAAGUAACAGAAA